rnacentral:rRNA from 1 species
UACAGAGACUGCAAGCGUUAUUCGGAUUCACUGGGCGUAAAGGGUGCGCAGGUGGCUUUGUGUGUCAGGUGUGAAAUCCCGGGGCUUAACCCCGGAACUGCGCCUGAAACUGCAAAGCUAGAGCAUUGGAGAGGGAAGUGGAAUUCACGGUGUAGCAGUGAAAUGCGUAGAUAUCGUGAGGAACACCAGAGGCGAAGGCGACUUCCUGGACAAUUGCUGACACUCAGGCACGAAAGCAUGGGGAGCAAAAGGG